GACGAACCACACAAACGUUAUUCGGAAUUACUGGGCUUAAAGGGUGCGUAGGCGGCGCGGAAAGUAGGGUGUGAAAUCCCUCGGCUCAACCGAGGAAUUGCGCCCUAAACUACCGUGCUCGAGGGAGAUAGAGGUGAGCGGAACUUAGGGUGGAGCGGUGAAAUGCGUUGAUAUCCUAAGGAACACCGGUGGCGAAAGCGGCUCACUGGAUCUCUUCUGACGCUGAGGCACGAAAGCUAGGGUAGCGAACAGG
rnacentral:rRNA from 1 species